rnacentral:rRNA from 1 species
GAUGAACGCUAGCGGGAGGCUUAACACAUGCAAGUCGAGGGGCAGCAUUCACUUCGGUGAGAUGGCGACCGGCGCACGGGUGCGUAACGCGUAUGCAACCUACCUUAUACAGAGAGAUAGCCCAUGGAAACGUGGAUUAAUAUCUCAUAGUACUAUAAAUCUGCAUAGUUUAAUAGUUAAAACUACGGUGGUAUAAGAUGGGCAUGCGUCUGAUUAGCUAGAUGGUGAGGUAAUGGCUCACCAUGGCAACGAUCAGUAGGGGUUCUGAGAGGAUUAUCCCCCACACUGGUACUGAGACACGGACCAGACUCCUACGGGAGGCAGCAGUGAGGAAUAUUGGUCAAUGGACGAGAGUCUGAACCAGCCAUCCCGCGUGCAGGAUGACGGCCCUAUGGGUUGUAAACUGCUUUUCUAUGCCAAGAAACCUGUUUACGUGUAGACAGUUGACGGUAGCAUAAGAAUAAGGACCGGCUAACUCCGUGCCAGCAGCCGCGGUAAUACGGAGGGUCCAAGCGUUAUCCGGAUUCAUUGGGUUUAAAGGGUGCGCAGGUGGGGAUGUAAGUCAGUGGUGAAAUACUGCCGCUCAACGGUAGAACUGCCAUUGAUACUGCAUCUCUUGAGUAUGGUUGAGGUAGGCGGAAUGUGUUGUGUAGCGGUGAAAUGCAUAGAUAUGACACAGAACGCCAAUUGCGAAGGCAGCUUACUAAACCAUUACUGACGCUGAGGCACGAAAGCGUGGGGAGCGAACAGGAUUAGAUACCCUGGUAGUCCACGCCGUAAACGAUGUUCACUCGCUGUUUGCGAUACACAGCAAGCGGCUUAGCGAAAGCAUUAAGUGAACCACCUGGGGAGUACGAUCGCAAGGUUGAAACUCAAAGGAAUUGACGG